ACAUUCCUGGAGCACAUGUACCGCCUGGACAGCAACUCACCACCCAUCACAGCCUGGAACAUGGGCAUCAUCUGCACCAUUGGCCCAGCAUCUCCGUCAGUGGAGCUGAAGAAAGGAGCCACAUUGGACAACGCCUGCAUGGAGAAGUGUGAUGAGAACAUCUUGUGGCUGGACUACAAGAACAUCUGCAAAGUGGUGGAGGUGGGCAGCAAGAUCCAUGUGGAUGAUGGACUUAUUUCCCUGCUGGUGAAGCAGAAAGGUGGUGACUUCCUGGUGACAGAGGUGGAAAAUGGUGGCUCCUUGGGCAGCAAGAAGGGUGUAAACCUUCCAGGGGCUGCUGUGGACCUGCCUGCUAUAUCAGAAAAGGACAUCCAGGACCUGAAGUUUGGGGUAGAGCAGGAUGUAGAUGUGGUGCUUGCAUCUUUCAUCUGCAAGGCAUCUGAUGUCCAUGAAAUCAGGAAGGUCCUGGGAGUGAAAGGAAAGAACAUCAAGAUAAUCAGCAAAAUUGAGAAUCUUGAGGGAGUUCAGAGAUUUGACGAGAUCCUGGAGGCCAGUGAUGGUAUCAUGGUGGGUCAUGGUGACCUAGGCAUUGAGAUUCCUGCAGAGAAGGACUUCCUUGCUCAGAAGAUGACGAUUGGGCAGUGCAACUGAGCUGGGAAGGCUGUCAUCUGUGCCACACAGAUGCUGGAGAGCAUGAUCAAGAAGCCUCGCCCCACCCGGGCAGAGGGCAGCCAUGUGGCCAAUGCAGUCCUAGACAGAGCUGACUGCAUCAUGCUGUCUGGAGAAAUAGCCAAAGGGGACUACCCUCUGGAAGCUGUUCGCAUGCAGCACCUAAUUGCCCAUGAGGCAGAGGCUGCCAUCUACCACUUGCAAUUAUUUGAGGAACUCCGCUACCUGGCACCCAUUACCAGUGACCCCACAGAAGCUGCUGCCGUAGGCGCUGUAGAGGCCUCCUUCAAGUGCUGCAGUGGGGCCAUAAUCGUCCUCAUCAAGUCUGGCAGGUCAGCUCACCAGGUGGCCAGAUACCGCCCACAUGCCCUCAUCAUUACUGUGACAUGGAAUCCCCAGACAGCUUGCCAGGCCCACCUAUACCAUGGCAUAUUCCUGUCUUAUGCAAGGACCCAGUUCAGGAAGCCUGGGCUGAGGAUGUGGACCUCCGGGUGAACUUGGCCAUGAAUGUUGGAAAGGCCCAAGGCUUCGUCGGGAAAUGUGGUCAUUGUGCUGACCAGGUGGUGCCCUGGCUCUGGCUUCACCAAUGCCACAUGUGCAGUGCCUGUGCCGUGA